rnacentral:lncRNA from 1 species
UGCACCUUAUCAAAUGAAUUUCCAUACACGGCUUACACACACACACUAACUGCAAUCAACACGCACUAAACACGCUCUUCGUCUCACACAUAUGGAUACACCGCAUGUCUAUAUAGAUACAUAUAUUUUCUUCGACACAUACUACACUGUGAAUACUCCAUUUUUGAAGCCAUGGCGCGCCAAUCCAAUCCGAAACCGAAGCCGUUAUACACUCUCUUCUUCUUCAUGAUCCUUUGUGGAUUCACCUACGGUCGCUUCAUUUCUGACAGUCCAGAUCUCGUCUCUGACGGGGUUCAUACACACGCCUCCAGUUUGCCUUCAUUUAUCCGCAUGUACGCGGCAGAGGAGACGUGUGAACAAACGUACGGGUUCAUGCCGUGCACCUCUACGGCAUUGGGAAAUCUGUUCCUAAUUAUAGUUUAUGGAUACCUGAUGUUCCAAGCCGCGACGUACCUCUCCAGUGGUAGUGAGCUUUUGCUUGAGAUUCUCGGUCCUGGAAUUGUUGGUGGUCUUUUUCUCCCUAUUCUCGGAGCUCUUCCUGAUGCUAUGCUUAUUCUCGGUACUAAUCAAUUUUCACUAUUUCAUCGUAUAUUCAAAGUUAGCUGAAUUUAUUAUGCUUUGCUGUGCGCUUUGCCCGGUCAGCUAUAAAAAGAGUUAAUGAAAAUUUCAGGUUGAAUAGAAACUUGAUACACAUAGCGCAGUGUUGAGAGCAGAUUGUCUGAAAAUUGAGUCGGAUACUCUAUACCUACAUGCAUAGUAAUUUAAAUUUCCUUUAAUUAAUAUCACAAGUUGAAAAGCAAAGUAUGCGUCUUUGGGUAUAAAUUCAUCUCUAAGAAACUGAAAAUGAAUAGAUUUGGUCUUUUUGAUUUAUUUAUUUUUUCAAAAAAGUAAAUAUCCCCUUUAGAUUUUUUUUUUUUUAAAAUUCAUAACAGUGUCUACCCCCUCACAUGGAGGAGACUCACUCAUUUAUUUGAAGUGGAUCCCCCUCCACGUAAGGGAUGGACACCGUUAUAGAGAUCGUAUUAUAUAAAAGUAGCAUAUUCCUUUUUUUAAAACCUUCCUUUGUAUUUAACCGCAUGAUGUAGUAAAUUAGAUUAGGGAAUUUACCAACUUAAUGUUCAUCUUCUCCCAUGUUUUAAAUUUGAAAAUUUUAAUGACAUUAUCAAUACUUCUUCAAAUGAAUUUGUCUUAAUUAUAAAAUUCUGAAAUUUGAAAAUCUCGGAGGGAAGUCGUUAGUAGUUGCAAUCAUGCUCUCGUACUUUUAUUUUAUUUUAUUUUAAGACCCAAAACAAAAGACUUAAUCCAACUUUGCAGAACAGACUAUGCCCCGUUUGAUAGAGAUAAAAAUCAGCUUUUUAGCAAAUUUUGAUAAAAAUUGAUAAAAUAUGUGAUUGAAAAACUGUAAAUCUUAUAAAAUAUGUAAUUAAAAUUAAUUGUUGAUUUUGACUUUGAUAAAAAAAAAAAUUUUAACUUCUAUUAGACGGGAGCUAUAUAAUGUUAAUGAUUACGGUUAACAACCAAUUAUAAGUUGGACUACAACACACAUUUCAAGGGCCAAUUACAUUGUGUAUUUGAAACAGUGAAACAUCGCCCCUGUUUAUUUCUUAUUCUUUCUCCACUAGAAUGAAAAAUAUGACUGUUAUCUAUCACAUCAAGCCACCAAAUUUGAAUUUAUAUCUCUUGUGUGAGAUCCAUAACGGUUAUAUUUUUCAUUCUCAUUUUUACAAAAAUGGGAAACAAACGCCCCCUUCAAUUCAUUUAUGACAAAUACAAGACACAGAAAAACUUACAACAAGCAAUUUAUUUCGAUAUAAACCAAAUUCCAAUAAAUUCUGGUCCCUGCUACUUAUACAAUGCCCUGUCUAAACAGGGGGCGAUGUGACGCCCCCUAUUGGCCGGAGCUGCGUAGAUACCAAGCCAAUCUGUUUGGACGGGACAUUGUCCAAGAGGAAAAACUCAUAAAUUGUUGUCAUAUACUUCCUAAUUUAAGUAUCGAAAUCUUAUCACUAGUUCACACGAUUUUACCUAUUAUUUUAUACCAACAAUAAUUGCAACAUGUGUUAAGAACUGCGUUUGGUCUUGCGUCUUUUGACCCCCCUGAUCUCGUACUCAAAAUGGAACGAAAUAAAGAUACACGUUAAUGAUCAUUAAUUUUAUUAGAAAAAUGAUCAUUUUAUUUAUAAUUAAAUUUGAUUUCGAUUCGAUGCAAGAUCUAGUAAUGAACAUAAAAACGUUAGUUUAUUUAAAAUAAAUUAAAUAGUUUAUAUUCUUACACUAUACAAGAGAAUGAAAAUAUGGGGACCGAAUUUAAAAUAAUAGGUUAUUGAAAUAAAAUAAUAUUUACAAAAUUCUGCACCUUAUCAAAUGAAUUUCCAUACACGGCUUACACACACACUCACUACAAUCAACCCGCACUAAACACGCUCUUCGUCUCACACAUAUGGAUACACCGCAUGUCUAUAUAGAUACAUAUAUUUUCUUCGACACAUACUACACUGUGAAUACUCCAUUUUUGAAGCCAUGGCGCGCCAAUCCAAUCCGAAACCGAAGCCGUUAUACACUCUCUUCUUCUUCAUGAUCCUUUGUGGAUUCACCUACGGUCGCUUCAUUUCUGACAGUCCAGAUCUCGUCUCUGACGGGGUUCAUACACACGCCUCCAGUUUGCCUUCAUUUAUCCGCAUGUACGCGGCAGAGGAGACGUGUGAACAAACGUACGGGUUCAUGCCGUGCACCUCUACGGCAUUGGGAAAUCUGUUCCUAAUUAUAGUUUAUGGAUACCUGAUGUUCCAAGCCGCGACGUACCUCUCCAGUGGUAGUGAGCUUUUGCUUGAGAUUCUCGGUCCUGGAAUUGUUGGUGGUCUUUUUCUCCCUAUUCUCGGAGCUCUUCCUGAUGCUAUGCUUAUUCUCGGUACUAAUCAAUUUUCACUAUUUCAUCGUAUAUUCAAAGUUAGCUGAAUUUAUUAUGCUUUGCUGUGCGCUUUGCCCGGUCAGCUAUAAAAAGAGUUAAUGAAAAUUUCAGGUUGAAUAGAAACUUGAUACACAUAGCGCAGUGUUGAGAGCAGAUUGUCUGAAAAUUGAGUCGGAUACUCUAUAC